rnacentral:rRNA from 1 species
UACGUAGGCAGCAAGCGUUGUUCGGAGUUACUGGGCGUAAAGAGUGCGUAGGUGGUGCCCUAAGUCUGUUGUGAAAUCUCCCGGCUUAACUGGGAGGGUGCGGUGGAAACUGGGGUGCUUGAGUGUGGGAGAGGUAAGCGGAAUUCCUGGUGUAGCGGUGAAAUUCGUAGAUAUCGGGAGGAACACCGGUGGCGAAGGCGGCGACCUGGGUAGAUACUGACGCUGAGGCGCGAAAGCGUGGGGAGCAAACAGG